AGCUGAGUAGGAGAAUAAAGCUGAGUGCAUCUGGGCCAGGCUAACCGGCAAAUCUCUUAAUUACUUGGCAGUUUGCACUCGUCGUCGCUUUCGAUGGCAACAGGUGCUCUCGGUCGGCGCGUUAUUAACUCAUUAUAAAAGCAUUUCAGAGCAGUUCGAUUUGCUUUUGCUGAAAAGCAUUUCAAUUGCCUCCGACACUCGCACAUUUCGAAAUGCGUGCUUUUGCUGCUGCUGCUGUUGUUGUUGCUGCUGUUGCUGUUGUUGCUGUUGUUGCUGUUGCUGCUGUUGCUGCCCCUGAUGUUGCUGCCGUGUCCGGCUGCUGCGACCUUCACUUGCUCUGCCAGCGGAAAGGGUGACUCAAGCGGGCAAACGGAAAAUAUUGUUUCCCUUACACACCAUAUUGACCAAUAAUUUACGACGGUUUUUAAACAAUUCUAAUUAUCACUUAGUCACUAGGCCAUUAAAGCAUUUCAAUCUAAAAUUUCAAUAAAAAAAUUUCAUAACUGAAAUCAAUCUGAUGAAGAUCAAUUUAAUAUCUUGUGAUAAAAAAAAAUAUUUUCUAAUUAAAAUAAGUACUUAGGGUAGUAAAGAUUGUACAUUUAUAAAAACUAUUACUAUUACUAAAAUACAAGAAGCUUUUUAACUUAUUUCCAGUAAUGCAAAGAUUAUGUCUCCUAAUUUUUAAUCCUAAAAUAUAGAAAUCAUAUAAAAGUUCCUUAUUCAAAUUAAUCUUUGCACUGACUCACCCCCGUAGAAUAUUUCUCGAGACCCCUCGUCUUGAGAUCUUGUGCUGCUGCUUCUUGCAGCCUGCCUGCCUUAUACAAACACUUUUUGAGAUGCAAAUUUAAUUUGCUAAAUGAUUUUGCCGGGACGGGCGGAUAUCUGGGAAACUUGUUUUGCUGAGUGUGAUUCUACAUGUGCGCUGGCAGAUGCAAAUGUCACAAAAGUCAGCCUUGUCACGCCGAUUGGAUGGAAUUAGCUGGGCUUGGACUCUAACGGAAGGCCAUAGAGUAACCUUAAUCGCAAAGACUGUGAAUAAUUCCGGGAAUUAACUGCCGAAGGAAACUCAACCGCAGAGGCUCCAGUAACGCAUCGAUACUUCCGCAGCAAAACGAAUAAAAUUAAAUUAAAAUAAAGUUCCAACACAAAUGUUGGUUCCCACCAACAUUCUCAGACA